rnacentral:rRNA from 1 species
UACGUAGGGGGCAAGCGUUAUCCGGAUUUACUGGGUGUAAAGGGAGCGUAGACGGCUUUGCAAGCCAGAUGUGAAAGCCCGGGGCUCAACCCCGGGACUGCAUUUGGAACUGUAUGGCUGGAGUGUCGGAGAGGCAGGCGGAAUUCCUAGUGUAGCGGUGAAAUGCGUAGAUAUUAGGAGGAACACCAGUGGCGAAGGCGGCCUGCUGGACGAUGACUGACGUCGAGGCUCGAAAGCGUGGGGAGCAAACAGG